GACGAACGCUGGCGGCGCGCCUAACACAUGCAAGUCGAACGGAGCUGAGAGAAGCUUGCUUUUCUUAGCUUAGUGGCGAACGGGUGAGUAACGCGUGAGUAACCUGCCCUGGAGUGGGGGACAACAGUUGGAAACGACUGCUAAUACCGCAUAAGCCCACGAUCCGGCAUCGGAUUGAGGGAAAAGGAUUUAUUCGCUUCAGGAUGGACUCGCGUCCAAUUAGCUAGUUGGUGAGGUAACGGCCCACCAAGGCGACGAUUGGUAGCCGGACUGAGAGGUUGAACGGCCACAUUGGGACUGGGACACGGCCCAGACUCCUACGGGAGGGAGCAGUGGGGGAUAUUGGACAAUGGGGGAAACCAUGAUGCAGCGACGCCGCGUGGAGGAAGAAGGUUUUCGGAUUGUAAACUCCUGUCGUUAGGGACGAUAAUGACGGUACCUAACAAGAAAGCACCGGCUAACUACGUG
rnacentral:rRNA from 1 species